ACUAUAUUCAUGCUUGUUUAACUACCCUGAGAUGUUUUUCAUGUAUAGGAGGCGAUGUUGCCCACGGCUCUCGGGCUUAAGCCAACAAAUUAAUGAAAAUGAAUAAAAUUACACUCAUUAAAACGUGUAGUUGUCUUUAAAACACGCUCUAAAACCAACGCAUUGUUUGAAAUCAGCCUCCCAAAACUUUUAAUGUUAUCUGCUGCCUCUGUUCCACAUUGACAUGAUUUAUUGCUCACCUCAAUAAUAAACAAUUAACUGAAAGGGGUAAUAGUAGUGGUAAUGUACUUUACAUAUGUAUUUGGGGUGUGGUUUCUGAAAUUGCUGCGCUAAAUAUAUCAACAGGAAAUGCUAACUGUUGUAGAAUUUUAAUUUUGCAUGUCUAAGGUAUUGUAUUGUAUUGUAUCAAAGGUUCUCAAUCUGGCUUGAGGGGAAUCCCUACUGUCUAAACUCUACCUGGAAGCAAGGCAAGAGGCUCUCACAGAGGAUCUACCAGAUAUCGACUUCAGAGCAACCCUCAUCUUUUUGCCACACAUCUUCAAGGAGAACAUUGAGUGCUUUAUUACUCUUGGAAAGUUCCUGCCACUCCAUACCCAACUAUCCAGUUGACAGAUGAAGACUUGAAAAUGGCCUUCACUAGGAGAGCUCCGAACGUUGUGAAAGUGGACGGCAUCGAGUCACAGCUCAGCAAUUGACGAGGGAAUGUUUUGGCAAAUCAAGUACAUUUUGAACAUUGAUACCUUGUGGAUUCUUUGUGGUAAAAUGUUGGUUCCUCUGUCACUUUCAUGCAUAAAGUGUAAAGGUUGAUUGAGAAUGGACUUUACUAAAACCAGGUGAUGAAAUGGACUACCGAAUAUUUGACACUUAUUCUGUGGAUAACAGUUUUAUGUCACACUUCAACAUAGUAUUUUAAAAUGUACAAAAUUGACAAAAUCAUGUGAAAAUCUUAGAUCUUCUGUCAUGAGUGUUAUUUUCAUUUAUGCAGUUUUAAGGUUGGUGGAGAAUGGACUUGCUUGCAAUGGACAAUUUUACAUUGUUUAGUGUAGAUGAUAUAUAGUUGAAUACACAGUUUUUUUUGACAAAAUUCAUAGCAAAGCUCAGUAAAAGAGUUUUGGGAAGUUUAACACAUAAUAGAGCAUGAACUGUUUUAAUAAUAAUUUGAGUCACCCUAAUAAUACAGUGGAGGCAAUUCAAAUAAAACGUCUUCUGAUAUAGCUGGGAAGGAAUACAUGAAAAUUCAUGAAGAUUGGGCACUUCUGGAAAAGUUUUUUAGUUUUGGCAGGGUGUUAGAUAUGGGCCUAAGGUUUUCAAAAAUCCAUGGAUACAAGUUGGGGCGGCCCCCCUAGUGGCAGUUAUCCAUAAAAUCCAAAAUAGCCCCCGCCGAAAAUAA